rnacentral:rRNA from 1 species
ACAGGUGCUGCAUGGCUGUCGUCAGCUCGUGUCGUGAGAUGUUGGGUUAAGUCCCGCAACGAGCGCAACCCUCGCCGUUAGUUGCCAGCAUUCAGUUGGGCACUCUAAUGGAACCGCCGGUGAUAAGCCGGAGGAAGGUGGGGAUGACGUCAAGUCCUCAUGGCCCUUACGGGAUGGGCUACACACGUGCUACAAUGGCAGUGACAAUGGGUUAAUCCCAAAAAGCUGUCUCAGUUCGGAUUGUCCUCUGCAACUCGAGGGCAUGAAGUUGGAAUCGCUAGUAAUCGCGUAACAGCAUGACGCGGUGAAUACGUUCCCGGGCCUUGUACACACCG